GACGAAGGGGGCUAGCGUUGUUCGGAAUUACUGGGCGUAAAGCGCGUGUAGGCGGUUGUCCAAGUUGGAUGUGAAAGCCUUGAGCUUAACUCAAGAAAUGCAUUCAGGACUGGAUGACUAGAGGACCGGAGAGGAUAGUGGAAUUCCCAGUGUAGUGGUGAAAUACGUAGAGAUUGGGAAGAACACCAGUGGCGAAGGCGGCUACCUGGACAAUUGCUGACGCUCAGGCACGAAAGCGUGGGGAGCAAAAGGG
rnacentral:rRNA from 1 species